UUCAGUGCACUAUAAUAACCCAAAAGCCCAAAAUUUUCUGAAAACUGUAGCUAGCCCCGAAUUUGUCCUUAGGGUCAGCAGUUCACAAUUUUUUUCGGUGUCUAACAUGUUUAUUUCGCGACCUUACGAUUUUCAUAUCUCACUCAAUAUAGCUUCGAUCCAAAUGAAAUUUGGACAUGUUAUACCUCAUGCUACAUACUAUUUUACAAAAUUAUUAC
rnacentral:lncRNA from 1 species